rnacentral:rRNA from 1 species
UACGUAGGCGGAAUAUUAAGUCAGUGGUGAAAUCCUGCGGCUCAACCGUAGAACUGCCAUUAAUACUGAUAUUCUUGAAUGUAGUUGAGGUAGGCGGAAUGUGUAAUGUAGCGGUGAAAUGCUUAGAUAUUACACAGAACACCGAUUGCGAAGGCAGCUUACUAAACUAUGAUUGACGCUGAUGUACGAAAGCGUGGGGAGCGAACAGGAUUAGAUACCCUGGUAGUCC